rnacentral:rRNA from 1 species
AUACGGAGGAUGCAAGCGUUAUCCGGAUUUAUUGGGUUUAAAGGGUGCGUAGGCUGUUCGGAAAGUCAGGGGUGAAAGCCCGGCGCCUAACGCCGGAACUGCCUUUGAUACUUCCGAGCCGGAAUACGGAUGCCGUGGGAGGAAUGAGUAGUGUAGCGGUGAAAUGCAUAGAUAUUACUCAGAACGCCGAUCGCGAAGGCAUCUCACGAAUCCGUCAUUGACGCUGAGGCACGAAAGCGUGGGGAUCAAACAGGAUUAGAUACCCUGGUAGUCCACGCAGUAAACGAUGAUGACUAACCGUCGGCGAUACACAGUCGGUGGCCAAGCGAAAGCGAUAAGUCAUCCACCUGGGGAGUACGUUCGCAAGAAUGAAACUCAAAUGAAUUGGCGGGG